GAUGAACGCUGGCGGCGUGCCUAAUACAUGCAAGUCGAGCGAACAGACGAGGAGCUUGCUCCUCUGACGUUAGCGGCGGACGGGUGAGUAACACGUGGAUAACCUACCUAUAAGACUGGGAUAACUUCGGGAAACCGGAGCUAAUACCGGAUAAUAUAUUGAACCGCAUGGUUCAAUAGUGAAAGACGGUUUUGCUGUCACUUAUAGAUGGAUCCGCGCCGCAUUAGCUAGUUGGUAAGGUAACGGCUUACCAAGGCAACGAUGCGUAGCCGACCUGCGAGGGUGAUCGGCCACACUGGAACUGAGACACGGUCCAGACUCCUACGGGAGGCAGCAGUAGGGAAUCUUCCGCAAUGGGCGAAAGCCUGACGGAGCAACGCCGCGUGAGUGAUGAAGGUCUUCGGAUCGUAAAACUCUGUUAUUAGGGAAGAACAAAUGUGUAAGUAACGAUGCACGUCUUGACGGUACCUAAUCAGAAAGCCACGGCUAACUACGU
rnacentral:rRNA from 1 species